CUUGAUCGAGCCGAGCCACAGCGGUCGCUCCUCGGCAUCCCGUUCCCGCCCGUAAGUCGACAGCAGCGCCUGUGCCUC
rnacentral:antisense_RNA from 1 species